rnacentral:rRNA from 1 species
AUUCCAGCUCCAAUAGCGUAUAUUAAAGUUGUUGCAGUUAAAAAGCUCGUAGUUGGAUUUCUGGCGUCGCCGCCCGGUUGGCCUCGAAAGGGGUAUGUACUGGGGCGCGCGUUGCCAUCCUCGGGGGAAGGUCGUCUGGCAUUAGGUUGUCGGACGGUCGACGCUCGUCGUUUACUUUGAAAAAAUUAGAGUGCUCAAAGCAGGCUUUUACGCCUGAAUAUUCGUGCAUGGAAUAAUAGAAUAGGAAGUCGUUUCUAUUUUGUUGGUUUUCGGAAAUCGACUUAAUGAUUAAUAGGGACAGUCGGGGGCAUUUGUAUUCAAACGACAGAGGUGAAAUUCUUGGACCGUUUGAAGACAAACUACUGCGAAAGCAUUUGCCAAGAACGUUUUCAUCA